rnacentral:rRNA from 1 species
AAACAAGUUAAUAAACUAAAACUUUCAACAACGGAUCUCUUGGUUCUGGCAUCGAUGAAGAACGCAGCGAAAUGCGAUAAGUAAUGUGAAUUGCAGAAUUCAGUGAAUCAUCGAAUCUUUGAACGCACAUUGCGCCCCUUGGUAUUCCGGGGGGCAUGCCUGUUCGAGCGUCAUUUCAACCCUCAAGCUCUGCUUGGUAUUGGGCUCCGUCCUCAGGGACGCGCCUCAAAGACCUCGGCGGUGGCGUCUUGCCUCAAGCGUAGUAGAAAACACCUCGCUUUGGAGCGCACGGCGUCGCCCGCCGGACGAACCUUUGAAUUUUUCUCAAGGUUGACCUCGGAUCAGGUAGGGAUACCCGCUGAACUUAAGCAU